rfam:Nitrosospira multiformis ATCC 25196, complete genome.
GCCCUGGUAGCUCAGUGGAUAGAGCGACCCCCUCCUAAGGGGUAGGUCACACGUUCGAUUCGUGUUCAGGGCG